UACGUAGGUGGCAAGCGUUGUCCGGAUUUACUGGGCGUAAAGGGUGCGUAGGCGGCGCGGUAAGUCGGGUGUGAAAUCUCGGAGCUUAACUCCGAAACUGCAUUCGAUACUGCCGUGCUUGAGGACUGGAGAGGAGACUGGAAUUUACGGUGUAGCGGUGAAAUGCGUAGAUAUCGUAAGGAAGACCAGUGGCGAAGGCGGGUCUCUGGACAGUUCCUGACGCUGAGGCACGAAGGCCAGGGGAGCAAACGGG
rnacentral:rRNA from 1 species